UGAUAUCACAGAAGAGAUAAUCGAGGAUGUUUCAGGCUGAUCUCUGGAAUGCAUUCAAGGUCACAGUGUGACUCAGGCACUUGGUCUCACUGUGUCCCUAGCUUUGGCUCCUCUUCAGACUCUCACAAACUGAGCAGAUAGGAAGGCGUCAUGGAUGAAAGAGUCCUGUUCAACCCAGAUAUAUUUACGAUAUAAACAUCAAGGCCAGGUGCGGUGGCUCACUCCUGUAAUCCCAACACUUUGGGAGGAAUGAAAUGGAGGAAGAGGUACGUUCAACUACAGAGGAGGAAACUGAGGCCCAGAGGGGAAAAGUGACUUGAUUGACAAAAAUUGGAUUCUGGUCUUUGUUCUGCCAAAGGGAAAUAACUUCCAUGUCUGUUCUUACCCAUCAGGAUUAUUGGGAGGAAAAAUAUACAACACCGUAAAUGAAAACCAUUUUGAAAACCUUAUACCACUCUCCGGAUGCUGGGGAUCAGCUGCACAUGCUGCCAGAAUCUUAGACUGUAGUGCAAGAACAACCAUAUUGCUGGAAGUGAAAUUUGCAGUCUGCUCUAUCAGAUGGUUUCUGCGCAUGGUCUGUUACUAUGUUCAAAGCAUUAAACUGCCUGAAAGUGGAUUAUUUACAGAGCUUCUCUCUUCCCAGAGCUGCUGAUAGGUGGCAAUUCAGCCUCUUCACCCUAAUGCACACUUCCUCACUUUCCACCGAGACUCUUUGUUUGCUGACAGCAUCUGGCUAUCCUGGGUACUUGCCUCAGCUGGCACAGUUCUCUCCAAUCCCUAGAAGAAACAGCCUUCACCUACACACCAGGGAUGAAAUAAGAUUUCAGCUCAAAGCUAGCAACCUUUCUCUGAAAUGGUGUCACACCCAGACAGAAAAAUAAAUGUGCGUUUCUUCUUAGAUGAUGAUAAGUCAGUCUUUCAGGCAGACUUUUGACACAGGGAGGAUCAAGGUUUGACUGCCUUUGAGUAAUCCUUGUAGAAAAAACAGCACCUAAUUGGACAAAGGAAGAAAGGAACCAGCUGCUACUGUCAUAAUUAUUUAAGCACCCAUCCACAGUCAAAAACACUGCAUUGUUUCCUUACAAGUGAAAUUUGAUUGCCACUACAUUUCCUGCUGGCCUCCCCUCUAUGCAAAUUGGGGAGAAGAAAGAAAUUCAUAAGGCAUCAGAACCCAUUUGGCUUCUAAAUGUACUGUUUGCAUAUAGACAUCAGCAGCCUGAAUAAAUCCUAGCAAGGAAUGUCAAACAAACAACACUGGCUAUUUUUCUAUUGUUCUCCCUGAAAACAUCAUUUUUAACACAUUCACAAAGGCAAGCUGGGUUCUGUUUUAUCGGUGUUUUAGUAAAAGACAAGUGGCAUGGUGGUUCAGUUGUGGGUAUUGGACAUUAACGAAAACCAUCCUGGGAGAGUUCAGUUUAUAAAAGAUUAAAAUAAUUCAUCGACUUGCAAAAAAA